rnacentral:lncRNA from 1 species
GACACAAAGCAGGUCAGAGUGUUUUCAUCUUUCAACAGUUUCAAUGGUUAGAACACUUACAUUGUACGAGAAAAAAAAAAUUAAAAUUCUUCAACAUUUGGGAAAGAAGUACUUGUAAAACUUUGCCAUCCAUUCUCCAUCUGGAAAAGCAAUAUUGUAAGUUAAGCCUGACGUGAUGUCUCCAGUCACCAAGUUUCCUGUAAAUUGAUUUCCUAUGGAAGUUACUUUCUUCUCACGGUACCAGUGUGUAGCUUGUUACAACUUGGACUAGCUGAGGACUUAUGAUGGACAAUUACAUGAUGAUACAU